AUUACUAACAAGGAUUCCCCUAGUAGCGGCGAGCGAAGCGGGAAGAGCUCAAAUUUAUAAUCUGGCACCUUCGGUGUCCGAGUUGUAAUCUCUAGAAAUGUUUUCCGCGUUGGACCGCACACAAGUCUGUUGGAAUACAGCGGCAUAGUGGUGAGACCCCUGUAUAUGGUGCGGACGCCCAGCGCUUUGUGAUACAUUUUCGAAGAGUCGAGUUGUUUGGGAAUGCAGCUCAAAUUGGGUGGUAAAUUCCAUCUAAAGCUAAAUAUUGGCGAGAGACCGAUAGCGAACAAGUACCGUGAGGGAAAGAUGAAAAGCACUUUGGAAAGAGAGUUAACAGUACGUGAAAUUGUUGGAAGGGAAACGCUUGAAGUCAGACUUGCUUGCCGAGCAAUCGGUUUGCAGGCCAGCAUCAGUUUUCCGGGAUGGAUAAUGGUAGAGAGAAGGUAGCAGUUUCGGCUGUGUUAUAGCUCUCUGCUGGAUACAUCUUGGGGGACUGAGGAACGCAGUGUGCCUUUGGCGGGGGUUUCGACCUCUCACACUUA
rnacentral:rRNA from 1 species